rnacentral:tRNA from 1 species
UCCCUCUUAGUUCAGUUGGUAAAGAAUCUGCCUGCAAAGCAGGAGACCUGGGUUUGAUUCCUGGGUUGGGAA